CCAAACAAAAAAAAAACAUAAAAAAGAAAACAAAAAAACCCCAAAACCUCACAAAAAAACCCCAAAUAAAAAGAAACCCAACAAAAUAAUCCAAAAACAAGAAGCAGGUCCCGUUCAAAAGUCCAGCUGGGUUAGAAAUACCAAAUAAAAUAAAAUAAAAUAAAAUAAAAUAAAAUAAUAACAAUGCCAGAGUCCCAAAUCCCCCCUCAGGCUGGAGCUCGGGAAUUCACAGCUUUUGGUGCCCCGGGGAGAGGUGGGCUCUGCCCAAAGCUCCUGGGUCCUGAAGGUUAUUUUUAAAUCAAAUUCACCUCGGGGAUGAGGCGGAUUUGGUGGGAAAUUCUUGGGGAAUUCAGGGGAGAGGAAGGGAAAAAAAUGAAUUUUGAUUUUCCUCCUGGGGCAGCUCGAAGGGAGGAACGCCAAAAAAAAUUAAAAACCCUAAAAAAAUAAUUUAAAAAAAUUUAAAAAAAUAAAAAGCAGUGGGAUUGCUUUUCCUGGAAAAAAAAUUGAUUUUUUUUAAAAUUUUUUUAAUUUUGGGUGUGGGUGAGGUCAGGUAUUGCACAGGUGAAAUCCCCCAGCACUUCCUGCUCUGCUGAAGGGAAAUUCUGGGGAGAGGGAGGGAAAAAACUGAAUUUUGAUUUUCCCCCUGGGGCAGCUCAAAGGGAGGAAUGCCCCAAAAAAAUUAAAAACCCUAAAAAAAAUAAUUUUAAAAAAAUUUAAAAUUUAAAAAGCAGUGGGAUUGCUUUUCCUGGAAAAAAAAUUUGAUUUGUUUUUUAUUUUUGGGUGUGGGUGAGGUCAGGUAUUGCACAAGGAAUUCAGGGAAGUGAGGCAAGGCCAGAGUGCUCUGCUCUCCUCAGGCACAAACAGCCUGGCAUUUCAAAAAAAAAAAUAGAAAUAUUUCAGAAUCGAGGCUAAGCUCCCAGGUCCUGGUGGUUUGGGAUUAAAAAAAAUAAUAAAAUCUGAAUUUUAGAAGGCAGAAAUGGAUAAUUAAAAAAAAAAAUAAAUAUUUGAGAAUAGAAGCUGAUUUUCCAAAACAUAAAAUCUGAAUUUUAGAAGGCAAAGCUGGAUAAUUUUUAAAAAAUACAUAAAUAUUUGAGAAUUGAGGCUGCCCCUAGAUUUGGGGUUUAAAGCCCAAAUCCUAAAGAAAACCCUUUAAAGGGUUUUUAGUGGUGUUUGUAGUGCUCCUUCCCAGCACCAAGUGGGGUUUAGGGCCUUUAGCUGCCACUGAAUUUGGGGUUUAAAGGUGAAAUCCUAAAGAAAAUCCUUUAAAAGUUUUCUGAGGAGUUUCUGGUGCUCCUUCCCAGCACCAAGUGGGAUUUAGGGCCUUUAGCUGCCACUGAAUUUGGGGUUUAAAGGUGAAAUCCUAAAGAAAAUAAUUUUAAGGGUUUUUAGUGGUGUUUGUGGUGCUCCUUUCCAGCAGGCAGGUGGGAUUUAGGACCUCUAGCUGCCCCCAAAUUUGGGGUUUAAAGCCCAAAUCCCAAAGAAAAUUAUUUUAAGAGUUUUUUAGUGGAGUUUGAAAAGCUCCUUCCCAGCAUCAAGGUGGGUUUAGGGCCUUUAGCUGCCCCUGAAUUUGGGGUUUAAAGCCCAAAUCCCAAAAUCCACCUGGGCAGAGCCCCCCGAACACAAAAGGGGCAGAGAGCAGAAUCUGAAACCCUACAGAAAGUUUUGUACCAGAGAUGGGACCCAAACCCCUCCCCAAGGGGGGCAGGGAGUGCUGGGGGGUUCAAAAGCAACCUCAGCACCCCAAAAGCACCUGAACAACCCCAAAAAAUCCAGACUGGAGGAGAAAAGGCGGCAAAAAGGGGGAGCCACAGCCCAACCUCUGCAGGACAAGGACAGGGGGGGCACGGGGGGGACACAGGGGGGACACGGGGGGGGCUGAGCCCCUGGGAGCAGCAAGGUUUUGGAAUUCCCAGCAGGUCCGGGGUGGUGACAGCAGGGAUGUCCCCUCAGUGCCACCAGGGCCACCCUGGGGACACUGCCAGCAGCUCCACAUGCCAGGCAACGAGAGGGGCUGGGAUAAGGCAGGGCAGAGCUGCAGCACGUCCAGGAGGGUGACCCCAACGUCCCCAAGGUCACCCAGCCCCAGGGUGACACCAAAUCCAGGCCCCAGGGGGUGGUGACAGCAGCAAUGUCCCCUCAGUGCCACCCUGGGGACACUGCCAGCUGCUCCAUGUGCCAGGUGAGCCCAUCCAGAGAGGGGCUGGGAUAAGGCAGCACGUCCAGGAGGGUGACCCCAAUGUCCCCAAGGCCACCCAGCCCCAGGGUGACACCAAAUCCAGGCCCCACAGAGGUCGGGGCAGCAGCUCUGCCACAGCUGGGGCUGCAGCAGCAAGGUGACAGCAGGGAGGUGACAAGGUGACACCACAGCCACGCUGGCUUCACCCCCUCAUCCCCACUCCAGGGGAGCAGAGCCAGCCCCAAAGUCGUCCUCCAAUGCUACAUCAGGUAGAUAAUAAUUAAAAACAAUAAUAAUAAUUCAAAAAAAAAAGAGAAACUCACAAGCUUGCAACAGCUUUAGAAAAGGCACCUGGGGCGUCGCCUCGGCUCAGGGCGGCGCCCAACAUUUUAAUUUUGGAUUUUCUGCAAGUUUUUGGUUUUUUUUAAAAAAAAUAUAAAUAGCUCUUCAUCUUAAAAAUAGAUCCUCAGCUCGAGGUAUUACAGCAGCCUGUGUCUUGGCAGUGUAAGGACAAGGAGGAGAUUCAUUUUCUUUUCCCGGGGUUUGUUUUU